rnacentral:rRNA from 1 species
GCUGUAAUGGCAGGUCAGCAUACUGCCGUGAAUACGUUCCCGGGCCUUGUACACACCGCCCGUCACACCAUGAGAGUUGGGAAUACCCGAAGUCUGUGAGCUAACUUUUAGAGGCAGCAGUCGAAGGUAGAAUCAAUGAUUGGGGUGAAGUCGUAACAAGGUAGC